rfam:Chlorocebus sabaeus isolate 1994-021 chromosome 26, whole genome shotgun sequence.
GCUUACUGAUGGGAAUCAUUAUUUCUUAAAUUGGAUGACACUUUCCAUUCCUGCAAAGAGAGCCUGGGGUC